GGGUUGUGAGGUUAAGCGACUAAGCGUACACGGUGGAUGCCCUGGCAGUCAGAGGCGAUGAAGGACGUGCUAAUCUGCGAUAAGCGUCGGUAAGGUGAUAUGAACCGUUAUAACCGGCGAUUUCCGAAUGGGGAAACCCAGUGUGAUUCGUCACACUAUCAUUAACUGAAUCCAUAGGUUAAUGAGGCGAACCGGGGGAACUGAAACAUCUAAGUACCCCGAGGAAAAGAAAUCAACCGAGAUUCCCCCAGUAGCGGCGAGCGAACGGGGAGGAGCCCAGAGCCUGAAUCAGUGUGUGUGUUAGUGGAAGCGUCUGGAAAGGCGCGCGAUACAGGGUGACAGCCCCGUACACAAAAAUGCACAUGCUGUGAGCUCGAUGAGUAGGGCGGGACACGUGGUAUCCUGUCUGAAUAUGGGGGGACCAUCCUCCAAGGCUAAAUACUCCUGACUGACCGAUAGUGAACCAGUACCGUGAGGGAAAGGCGAAAAGAACCCCGGCGAGGGGAGUGAAAAAGAACCUGAAACCGUGUACGUACAAGCAGUGGGAGCACAGAGCAAUCUGUGUGACUGC
rnacentral:rRNA from 1 species